rnacentral:rRNA from 1 species
GAUACCACCCUUGUAGUACUGGGACUCUAACCAUAGGCCAUGAAUCUGGUCUUGGGACACUGUCAGGUGGGCAGUUUGACUGGGGCGGUCGCCUCCCAAACGGUAACGGAGGCGCUCAAAGGUUCUCCCAGUACGGUCGGAAAUCGUACGUAGAGUGUAAAGGCAAAAGAGAGCUUGAUUGCAAGACAUACAGGUCGAGCAAGGAUGAAAAUCGGACUUAGUGAUCCG